rnacentral:rRNA from 1 species
GACGAACGCUGGCGGCGUGCUUAACACAUGCAAGUCGUACGAUGACCCGGCUCUUCGGAGCUGGUGAUUAGUGGCGAACGGGUGAGUAACACGUGGGUGACCUGCCCUGCACUCUGGGAUAAGCCCGGGAAACUGGGUCUAAUACUGGAUACGACCAGUGGCCGCAUGGUCUGCUGGUGGAAAGCCCUUCGGGGGGGUGUGGGAUGGGCCGGCGGCCUAUUAGCUUGGUGGUGGGGUGAUGGCCUACCAAGGCGACGACGGGUAGCCGGCCUGAGAGGGUGUCCGGCCACACUGGGACUGAGACACGGCCCAGACUACUACGGGAGGCAGCAGUGGGGAAUCUGGCACAAUGGGCGAAAGCCUGAUGCAGCGACGCCGCGUGAGGGAUGACGGCCUUCGGGUUGUAAACCUCUGUCGGCAGGGAACAAGCCUGGGGGUUUUCUUCUGGGUGAGGGUACCUGCGGAAGAAGCACCGGCUAACUACGUG